rnacentral:rRNA from 1 species
GACGGAGGAUGCAAGCGUUAUCCGGAAUUAUUGGGCGUAAAGCGUCCGCAGGUGGCUGUUCAAGUCUGCUGUCAAAGCGCAGAGCUUAACUCUGUAAAGGCGGUGGAAACUGUAGGUCUUGAGUAUGGUAGGGGCAGAGGGAAUUCCUGGUGUAGCGGUGAAAUGCGUAGAGAUCAGGAAGAACAUCGGUGGCGAAGGCGGCGCUCUGGAACAUUUCUGACGCUGAGGCUCGAAAGCGUGGGGAGCAAACAGG